AGAUUGAACGCUGGCGGUAUGCUUAACACAUGCAAGUCGAACGGCAGCACAGGGUAGCUUGCUAUCCGGGUGGCGAGUGGCGGACGGGUGAGUAACGCGUAGGAAUCUACCUUUUUGUGGGGGAUAACCCGGGGAAACUCGGGCUAAUACCGCAUACGCCCUACGGGGGAAAGCGGGGGACCUUUGGGCCUCGCGCAGAAAGAUGAGCCUGCGUCCUAUCAGGUAGUUGGUGAGGUAAUGGCUCACCAAGCCGACGACGGGUAGCUGGUCUGAGAGGACGACCAGCCACACUGGGACUGAGACACGGCCCAGACUCCUACGGGAGGCAGCAGUGGGGAAUAUUGGACAAUGGGGGCAACCUGAUCCAGCAAUACCGCGUGUGUGAAGAAGGCCUUCGGGUUGUAAGCACUUUAGCAGGAAAGAAUAGACUGUGCGUUAAUACCGACGCGGUUUCGUACGUUACGUUGCGAGAAAAGACGACCGACUAACU
rnacentral:rRNA from 1 species